rnacentral:ncRNA from 1 species
AACCACGGACGACCGUGGUGCAGAAGAUUUCCGGCGGGACGACCCGC